rnacentral:lncRNA from 1 species
AUGCUGAAUGGGACAAGUUUGGGGCCCACUUCAGGGUGUUACACUGGCAAAGCCCAAGAACCUGCCUUUGAAAAUGGGAGCUACUACCACAAGAACGAUUUGAGCACUCACAAAGCCAUGGUUUUGGUAUGCUGCUCCAGCUCUGGAGGAUGGCUUGCUUAUGCUGUAUACUGUAAUUCUACAUUCAAGAUGUCAAUGGGACUUUCUGUGUUCAUUUCAACAGGAACAGGAUUAAGCAUAGGACUAUCAAUAUUUGAAUAUGCCAAUAUUUAUUCCCAGCAAAAUCCAUGACAAAUGCACAAUGACACAAGGAAGACAGAUCCAACUGGAAAGAAAAACUGUAUAAACAACCAUUGCUGGGCUUGCUGUACUGCAGAAAUGAGACCAAAUUUGAGUCCAAGCAUCUUACAAGAUCUCCUCCUAUCAUAACCAAUUUCUUCCAUCCCAUAUAUAGGAAAGACAUAAACCUCUUACCUCAACACCCAAUUCUUUGCAUAUAUUUGAGGACAGAGCAAUCUGGUAGUUGAAGCAAGUAUGGGAAAGAUUUAGUAGAGAAAACAACAAAAAAUUGUGACAAGAGAAGGUAACAGCCUCCACACACAGUUUUGUGUGACUCACAGUGCACAUUUCUGUGAGCUGCUAUGACCAACCAAGACAAGCUGCAUCCAGGAAACAGGCUUAUCACCAAGCCUCUCUACAAAAACAGAGCUCCCCUCAGCCCUUUGUUAGGGUUUUCAAAAGCUUCAAAGACUUCUUUACCAUGAAUCUGUGUGAAUCAGAAAGGGAGAAAAUGUCUAAGAGGCAUGGACAUUCAGUGGUCCUGCCUUGUCCCUCUCUCGCUCCACAUUCUUUUCAAGGGAAAGGUCAGGGAAUAUUUUACCUCUGACUUUCUCUCAGGUUCUUGACAAAGGUCAGUGAUAACUGUUGUUUUAAUGCACCACCAUAAUUAUAGCAUAUAAUGAUGCCAGCAUCAUUAAAAGUGGAAUGAUUGUUGUGAACAAAACCACUUAUAUUUGCAACAGUGUCUGCCCUGAGGAGACCUGUCUGCAUUACACGAAUGGUAAAAUUAUUCUGCUAUAGUGGUGACAGUUCCCCCCCCCCCCCCCCCCAUGGAUAAAUCUUGGUGAGUGACUGAUCCACAUAAACAAACAAGACUCUGAAUGACUUACAUGAAGACAGUUCUGUGAAACUGACUCAUCACAGCGCUUACACUUAAACAGAAUCAUGAAGAACUUGCAUUAUGACAAUUUUGUGAAGACAAAACCAAACUGAACAACUAACAGAUUCUGGUCCAGCAGGAGGAACACUGCUGUAGGACUCAGAAGACUGCAGGAUACACUUGGCACGGACCAUGCUUGACUACUGACUGUGCUUGACUGGUGACCAGUUAAGUUGCUUACCUUAUCUUGGCCUUAUUUCCUAACAUAUAAGAGGGAUAUUGAAACUUAUUUUAGUUAUAAAGUGGUCUCAGUUUCCUGGCUGAAAGUUUUCUUUAAAAGCUAGUCAUUCUUCUUUUUAAACCUAGGUGUUUAGAAAAUUCCAUAUCAGAACCAGAUCAAUUAGUCUAUUUUAUUUUGUCCUUACUCAAUAGUGGUCAAUGAUUGAUUCAUCAGGAACUAAAUAAUUUUAUAAUCCAUGUAAUUGCGUUAUAGAUAAAAAUAAUUCCGAAGCAAGAACUUUUCUUCCUGACUCAAGCUGAUGAUUGGUUUAUACUUAGAAGAUUAUGGACUGAUGGCUAUUAUAAUUUUAUUCUACCUACUGUAACUACAGAAGGUUUUUUUUUUUUUUUUUUUUUUUUUUUUUACAGUAUUCAUAUGUAUACAAUCCUCUUUUAGAAUCUUGCUAAGCUAGUUGCCUCAACAAUUCACUUUACAUUUGCUCUGGUUCUAAUAUAGGUGAGGAUUUGUAAUAUUCAGCACUCGUUCCAAAGCUCAUCUUCUUGGUACUUCAAAAUUCACAAAGAGCCUUGCCUCAAGGUUGUUAGUCAUGGCUUCUUGGAAAAUGUUGUGUGUAUACAUAAUAAAACGAGGACAUUAAACA